rnacentral:rRNA from 1 species
ACUCCUACGGGAGGCAGCAGUAGGGAAUCUUCCACAAUGGGCGCAAGCCUGAUGGAGCAACACCGCGUGAGUGAAGAAGGGUUUCGGCUCGUAAAGCUCUGUUGUUAAAGAAGAACACGUAUGAGAGUAACUGUUCAUACGUUGACGGUAUUUAACCAGAAAGUCACGGCUAACUACGUGCCAGCAGCCGCGGUAAUACGUAGGUGGCAAGCGUUAUCCGGAUUUAUUGGGCGUAAAGAGAGUGCAGGCGGUUUUCUAAGUCUGAUGUGAAAGCCUUCGGCUUAACCGGAGAAGUGCAUCGGAAACUGGAUAACUUGAGUGCAGAAGAGGGUAGUGGAACUCCAUAGUGUAGCGGUGGAAUGCGUAGAUAUAUGGAAGAACACCAGUGGCGAAGGCGGCUACCUGGUCUGCAACUGACGCUGAGACUCGAAAGCAUGGGUAGCGAACAGGAUUAGAUACCCUGGUAGGAUAGCG